rnacentral:rRNA from 1 species
UACGUAGGUGGCGAGCGUUGUCCGGAUUUACUGGGCGUAAAGAGCGUGUAGGCGGCCACGCAGGUCCGUUGUGAAAACUGGAGGCUCAACCUUCAGACGUCGACGGAAACCGUGUGGCUAGAGUCCGGAAGAGGAGAGUGGAAUUCCUGGUGUAGCGGUGAAAUGCGUAGAUAUCGAGAGGAACACCUGCGGCGAAGGCGGGUUGCUGGGCUGACACUGACGCUGAUGCGCGAAACCAGGGGGAGCAAC